UUUUCUCCCAUUCCACUUCUUUGUCGGCGCCGAUCACCCAAAACCCUAGGGAGAAUUCAACCCCAAACAGCCGGAAAUUGCACACAACAACCGCAUCGCCGAUGUCGUCGGCGCAAAACCCAGCCAACACACACUUAUCCACGCCGUUCGAAACUUUUUAGACUUAAACAACGACCAAUUGGUAUCUCAAAUCCUACCUUCAAAACGACAUCGGCGGUGCAAAACCUAACCGACGAAGGGUUAGCCACGACAAUACAAACUAUUCCACUGAAUCGAUGACGAAAGAGUUUCACUAACCCUAGCCCCAAUCCACGACGUUCAGAACCUACUCGAUUAGAUCAAACACGGUUUUGAUUUCAGAAUCGAAGAAAUAAUGGAAGGCUUUGGAUGAUUCAAGCUCUCGCAGAACAAAUGGUGACCUGUUCGUCGCCUCUCAGGCUACGAACAGAUCCAGCAGCAGACGACGAAAACACUACCAAACCCUAGGAUUUUGGGACUAAAUCUCAACGUACAUCAACUGAAAAUUUAAAAUUGGUCCAAAAUUGAAGAGAAGACAAUGGAAUACAGACCUGAACCCUCUACCUACACGAAAAGAUAAGUUUUUGUCACAAAAUUUAGUGUUUUCUAACCAAUUGCAUGCCUAAAUAUUGUUCAUAAACACUUGAAUACAUCUGUAACUGUGACUGUGACUGUUACUAUUACAUUUUAAUAUUGUACACUUUCAUUUUCAGAUCUGAUACAAACAUAUCCCUAUUAAGAUUUUUUUAAAAUUUGCUAGCAAAAAUUGCAAAUUCAUUGGACAAAGGGCAUGGAUUCAAGUAGCUAUUCAAUUUUCUACAUAAAAAAGUAAAUGAUUCACACCACAUAGACAUGUAGUAUACUUUUCUUUUUUCACUGCAUGAAUAAGCAUAAAAACUAAAUGACUUGAGAGGUGGAAAAAAAAUGAAUAUGUGACUCAUAAGUUGAAAUAAACAGAACUUCAAGAACUGCAAGUGUAUAUAUGAGAAAAUGAUGAUUCUCAGCAAUAUAAAACAACAUCUAUACUAAUAUGACUAAUACUUUGCAGAUUGCUCAAAAGAAGAAUAAGGGAAACACCAUCAGAAAUGUUGAGAUAAGUGAAAGAAAAAGUUGAUCAAUAUUAUACAGUAGUGUACAUAUUAUUAUAUAAAUUAGAACUCAUAUUUUGUAUUUGGCAGGAAAAAAAUGACAGCCCAUCCAAUUAGAAUGAUAAAUGAGGAUAAACAUAGAUACCAGUCAAUUCUUCGUUCCAAUCAAAGGUACCUAUAUAUUGGAAGAGUAUAGAGGAAGGAAAAUAUCUAUAACAUGACAAAAAAAACAGAAGACAUUUGAUUCAAGGUAUGUUACCUAACUAAUAAAAUACUUAGAUAACUGAAUUAUGCAAGUAAAUGAUAGAAGACUUGAUCCAAGUGUAAAAAACCAAUCUAUGUCAGCAAUAUAUUCCAUUGAAGUACAUGAGAUAUUGCUUUGUAGUUGCUAAUUAAAUGUAAAACGGUUUACCACAAAUAAUUUCUUAAUUUCAACAUUCCUUGAAGUGUAUUAAUUUCAUAAUAUGCUCUAUAUCAUAUCUCUGCAAUAUUUGAUUGAAUUAGACACUUAUUUUUAAAGUUUGUUAUCUAGGAUUGUAUUCAAUGUCGAACUAAUUUUAAAUACCGAACUAGAGAACAAAUCUCAUCCACCCUUUAUUCUAAUCUAACGGUUAAUUCAUUAUCAAUUAUAUCGCAGUUGUUUAUUCAAUUAAUAUUACAAAAGGGUUGUAAUGGAAAUUCAUAAUUCAUACGGUUAUUGCUUUACCAUAAUUCAUGCUAAGUUAAUUAAAGAAAUUGGAUCAGCAUUAUUGUGAUUCACGAUUAUUUGGAACUGAAUUUGCAUUCCACUCGAGCAAUCUCUUCAGCUAUCGUCAAUAUAUCAAUCGCAAUCUUCAACAAAUUCUAUAUCAUCGUGAAUCUGUAUUCCAUACAGAAAGUAUUAACGACAAUCAUGGGACUAUCGUGAAUUUGCAUUCCAUACAAUCACAAUCUUCAGCUAUCGUCAAUAUUCAAUCGCAAUCUUCAAUCUCUUUUGUAUAAUCGUGAACCUGCAUUCCAUACCAUCACAAUCUUCUUCUUCAAACACCUUUACGCCUUCAACACAAAUCACCAGUACAACAAUGGACGACUCGAGCAAUCCUUCUCCCACAACUGACUUUUCCCCGGAAGCAGCGAACAUACGUGGAACUACUUAUACAGAAAAUAUUAACGACAAUCAUGGGAUAAUAUUCGAUGAGUUAAAAUCUAUAGUUGGCGGCUAGCUUUUUUAAAUCGAUUUUGAAUCAUCCGAUGAUGAAGAAGGCGAUCCAGUCCAGGUAAGUUAUAUCGAUAUUUGACUGAUUAUUUUAGUGAUUUAUGUAUUUAUUUAUUCUUUUGAUCGUAUUAGUGAAAUAUUGGUCAUACUGAAUGAACUGUUUUAUUGUUGGAAUGAACUAUUUGUCGAUUUUAGUGAUUGAUGUAUUGAUUUAUUCUUUUGAUCGUAUCAGUGAAACAUUGGUCGUACUGAAUGAACUUUAUUUUUGUUUGAAUGAACUAUUUGUAGUUUAGUAUGAAGUGUUUUUUGUAUGCAAAAUCUCUGUAUCAUAUCUUGUUUUGUAUUAUUUUUAAUAAUCUUUUAGUGAAUAAUGUAUGGAUUUCUGAUCAGAUGGUCAUAGUUGUGAAAUGUUUAACAUUCGGAAUGAACUAAUAUGUUGUUUGUAUGAAAAUUUUGAAGUAAGCUAAGCUAUUUUAUGUUAUUAAAAAUAAUGGGCGUUGCUCCCAAAUUGAUGAUUACUAAUCAGGUUUUGGGAAUGAAGGUGGUUGCUAAAAGUGUUCUCGUUGAUACAAGACAUAGAUGGUGCAUGUGGCACAUCAUGUUUAAGGUUGUUGAAAAAUUGCCCAAGAAUCAGCUCCGCAACGAGGUUGGUAAUCAUGAUGCAAGGAAUUGCAAAAAGAUUAAGGUGAAGCAGAAAAAAAAGUUCAAGGUCCCUUAUGUCUUUGUGUCUUGAUGUAAUGACUCAGUUUUUGAACUUCUCUAUAUAUAUGAACCCUUUUUCAGUUUAGAUGAAUAUGAUUAAGCAAAGAUGAAGUUUUUUGGCUA